CUUUUCUCUUGCUUUGCCACUUUUUAGAAAUCCGAAUCACUUCGGCACUUCAGAGCUUCGGCACUUCCGAACUCCUUCACUUCCAAACUUCGUCACUUCCGAACUUCAGGACUUCGUAAGCAUCCAAAAAUCCAAAUGGCUUGGAAUGAAACAAAAAAAAUCCCAUACAUUUCUCCACCAGGAAUACCUAAAGAUCAUACAUUUCUCCCAUACAUUUCUCCACCAGGAAUACCUAAAGAUCAGGUAUUCCUGGAUAGCGUAAUCCAUCAGCUGUAUACAGUUUAAAUAGCACCAUGAUUGUCUGUAGGAUGUUGGAUCGCCAUCCAGUUAAAGGUUUGACCGGCCUCGGAUGCGAAGGAACUAACCUGCAUAGAUAGGCUACCAUGUGGUUGGAAUUCAGGGUGCUUGGUUUGGUU